CGACCCAACCCACAAUAUUACUAAACCAAACUGAACCAAAUAAUUAACCUACGUAUGGUCUAACAUAACGAUAUUUUUAAUUAAUACUGAUAAGUCCACUUUUUACUUCCAAAAAUAUAGUAUUCACUAUACAUUAAUCAUUUGUUAUAAAUUAAUGUGAAAAUAGUUUUUUUUUUCCUUUUUUUUAACAGCGUGAAAUAUAUGGUCAUUGAUUUUGCAUGAAAUACUAGGUUUGACUUUCGAAUAUAAUUUAUAUGAUUUUACAUUAUAUUUCCAUUGAAAUUUUCAAAUAUAUACGUAUAAGCACACGGCACGCAGCAGGCAGAAGCAGGGGCGGACCCAUAACCAUGGUGGUGGGGGGCAGCUGCCACCAGCAAAAAAAAA
rnacentral:lncRNA from 1 species